rnacentral:lncRNA from 1 species
AUUUGCGAACUAUGGAGCAACAAUAUCAAAGUCCUGAGACAAGUCUGGUUGUUAUAAUAAUCGUUUGUAUGACCAUCGUCAUAACGCUCGAUCACAAUAAUAAUCGUUCAUAUGAUGACCAUGACCGAAAAUGACACUACAAAUAGAGUUGCCAUACACCUCUUGGCUUGCAUAAUUUAUGGAGCAUGCUCAUCGAGCCAUAGAGAUUCCAUAUCUGAAAGUUGGGACGUCUAUAUGGAAUAGCAUCCAUCCACAAUCACUUGCAUGGGAGGGAAGUUUCAGCUCGGCCUCUUCCUCCCAUGUG